CCAAUGUGGGCAUCCAGCAAGAUGGCUCUUGCAUGGCUCUGCCCAAGUGGCAUAUGGGAGCGUAGCUCUGUUAGGGUCGAUAACGUAUGGUCCCGUUCCACAACAUUGGAGAAAAAGUUUUUUCCUCUCUGGCUGUCAUAGCUGCUGAGGGAGGCGUCCUGUAUAUUCCUACAACUUCUCAGUGCUUGCGGUUGCUGAGGAGACAAACCAUGCAGGACACAUCU